rnacentral:rRNA from 1 species
AUUGAACGCUGGCGGCAUGCUUUACACAUGCAAGUCGAACGGUAACAGGCCGCAAGGUGCUGACGAGUGGCGAACGGGUGAGUAAUGCAUCGAAACGUGCCCAGUCGCGGGGGAUAACGCAGCGAAAGCUGUGCUAAUACCGCAUACGAUCUAUGGAUGAAAGCGGGGGACCGUAAGGCCUCGCGCGCCUGGAGCGGCCGAUGUCAGAUUAGGUAGUUGGUGGGGUAAAGGCUCACCAAGCCAACGAUCUGUAGCUGGUCUGAGAGGACGACCAGCCACACUGGGACUGAGACACGGCCCAGACUCCUACGGGAGGCAGCAGUGGGGAAUUUUGGACAAUGGGCGCAAGCCUGAUCCAGCAAUGCCGCGUGCAGGAAGAAGGCCUUCGGGUUGUAAACUGCUUUUGUACGGAACGAAAAGGUCUGGGUUAAUACCCUGGGCUGAUGACGGUACCGUAAGAAUAAGCACCGGCUAACUACGUGCCAGCAGCCGCCGUAACAC